UUUUUUUUUUUUUGUUUUUAAUUCAGGCUUUUAGUUUAGUUCUCUAUACUGUUUGAUAUUUUUGGUAGCCAUUGUUAAUAUAUUACUAGUAAUUGAUGUCAUAAUUUUUUUUUUAAAGAUUUAUUUAUUUAUUAUAUGUAAGUACACUGUAGCUGUCUUCAGACACCCCAGAAGAGGGCGUCAGAUCUUGUUACGGAUGGUUGUGAGCCACCAUGUGGUUGCUGGAAUUUGAACUCCGGACCUUCGGAAGAGCAGUCGGGUGCUCUUACCCACUGAGCCACCUCACCAGCCCGAUGUCAUAAUUUUUAAUACUGAGUGCUUUUUGUCUGCUAGUUAGGUUCCUUUUUGAGCUUGGGAAUUUUAUUUUAUUGUAAAAGUUGGAAAAACUGCUCUAAAUUUGCUUAUCCUCUGGUUUUAUUUUAUUUUUUCUCUUUUCUGAUGUGUUUUUACAUAAUGCUUACUUGACUGUAGAUUUAGCUAGGAAAAAAAAAGUUCUGUUUUGUUCUCUUGUGUUUAUAUUGAAGUAGAGAAUGUUUUCUAUACCAUUGUUUAGUUUUGCUUCACUUAGGGACAUGUCUAAAAAUAGUGGCUUUUAUAUCAAAGAAUGUUAAAAUAUCAGACUUUAUUUUGAGACAGUCUUUCUAUGUAAUGCAUCCUCCUGUUGUAGCUUCCUUCCCCAGGGCUGGAUUUCCAAAUGCCUGUCACUUGUUUGUCUGGAAGUCAUAUUUCUAGAAAUGUUAUCAAUUUUAUGAAACUAUAGAAAAUUAAAUGUGACUAGGUCAUGUGUAAAUUACGAUGAAUUAUUCUUUUACUCUUAAAUUACUUUGAUCUGCUAAUAGGAAAAAGAUUCAUGGGAUGGCGAGGUUAUAUAUUUGAUUAGGUUUUACAUAUAUUUUGAUAUUAAUUAAAAUAAUCUGUAGCAUUUUGAAGCGUUGGCUAAUCGAGCUGCUACAACGGGGCAUGUCAUUGAUAUCUACGCCUGUGCGUUGGACCAGACAGGCCUGCUGGAGAUGAAGUGCUGUCCUAACCUUACUGGGUAUGUAUGUGUGUCUUUAAUAAUGACCGCUUAUUUGCAAAUGUGAGCCAACGCUGACAGCUCAGGAAACGGAAAGCUCGUUGUCAAUGUUUGCUAACAGCAUUGCUGUGUGUUUGGAGCUCAUGUUUCAUUUUUUUUUCUUUGAAAAGAUUAAGGUACAAGUUCUUUUGAAAAAGUUUAUUAUAAAGUUACUAGGUUGUUUUAGUAGUGUUUUGAGAUAGAAAGCCAUGAAAUUUAUCCACUUAAAAUGUAUGAUAAGGUUGUAGUAUGUUCACAAGGCAUAUGGUCAUUAUUAUGAUUGAAUUAGAACAUUUGCAAUGGCCCUGGAGAGACUUUGCUUGCUACCUGUCAAUCUCCGUUCCUCCUCCUUUCUCACUCCGCCCUCCUGCCCUCGGCAACACUACUCACCACUCCUGGAUGUUUCCUGUAAGUGGAGUAAUAAGUGGUGUUUUGCCUGCCAUUGACUUUUAAAAACUGUUUAUGUGCAUGAAUGUUUUGUCUACAUAAAUGUAUGUGCACUAUGUGCCUUGCCUGUCUGGUACUCAAGGAGGUUAGAACAGGGGUUGACUCCCCUGGAACUGGAGUGACAGGUGAUUUUGAGCAGCCUUGUAGGUGCUGGGAACUGAACUGGGUCCUUUGCAGGGGAAACAAAUGCUCCUGGCUACUGAAGCAUCUCUCCAGCCCCCACGGACAUCUUUUAUUCAGUAUGCUUAAUUUAUGCAUAUUUAAGAUGUGCCAGGAUUUCAUUUUAUUGCUGAAUAAAAGUGAAGUAGGGGUUCAGCUUCAUUAAUAUUCUCUUAGAUAUAUACCUAAGGAAAUGUCAACAAGCAGAAAGUAAAGGCCCUGGUCAGCUGUGCCAGGCACACAGAUACAAACCAAUGCAGGGUGGAGAGUAAGCACUUCAGCAUUGUGCAGCCUCUGAAAACCUUACUAAAUGUGAAAGCUGAUCCUAGAGCCAAUUGGAAAGACAACAGGAGGAGAGACUUGGGAGCAGCUGGUAUGGACAAGAGCUGCUCAGGUAUUAACUUGUACAGAUAACUUGUGUUUCCUGUUUGGACCACACUUUGAGAAGCAAAAAUAUAGACAACUUUUAUAAACACCAACUGUGAAAAGGAGCAGUCUUAAGUAAAUGAUGCAUUAUCAAGCAUAUUAUAAAAUGAAUAAUCUUAGAUGAUGCAUACACAAGGAGAAAAUCUGGCUGUGGGCUGCUCAGUGAGUAAAGGCUCUGAUGGCAUGGUGGGAGGGAGUUGGAUACUUGGGACACACAAUGUGGACGGAUGGUGGAAAGUUGUUUUCACACCUACAGAUGAACACUGUGUCAUGUGCACACCCUACACACAGUGAGUAAAGGUAAUUAAAAAUUAUUAAUACAAAUAACAUUAAUAACAUUUGUUUUGGGGAAUAUCUUUACUAUUUGUUCAUAGUCUAAGUAAUUUAUUUUUUCUGGUAAUACAUGAGCCCAGUUAAUUUGUAUGUUGUGCUUGCCUUUUUCUGUGCAGAGGAUACAUGGUAAUGGGUGACUCUUUCAAUACUUCCUUAUUCAAGCAAACUUUUCAAAGAGUCUUCACCAAAGAUAUACAUGGCCAGUUUAAAAUGGGCUUUGGUGGCACAUUAGAAAUAAAGGUAAGAACCCAGACUUGACAUGUGUGACAUGUGUGAUACGUCUAUCAGUUGAGACCCUUGAAGGCGGUGGUAACUGUGAAAUAUUAGUCAAGUUCAGAUGAUCUUUAAAAAGUAAUGGUUACUUUAGAACUUUGAGUUAGAGAUUUUGUUUCCCAGAAAGAGGUGUUGUCAUUAUAUGUACAGGAGACUGGGGUUGUUUUGAAUGAUGGUAAAGUAAUGUAAGCAAAGUUUCUUAUAUUGGAUAUUACUGUUUCUUAGAGCUAAGUCUCAUUCAGUCUGUCUUCUAACUCCUGAUCCUCCUACUUCAGCUUUCCAGUUGCUGUGAUGCAGCUGUGUUCUACUGUGGCUGGCACUAGACGUUAUAUAUUUUUAUACUCAAUUUAUAUUAUGUUAGGUUUUUUGUUUAUUCGUUUGCAUUGUUUUUUUGAGACAGGGUUUCUCUGUGUAGCUCUGGCUGUCCUGGAACUUCAGAUUUGCCUUAAAUUUAGAUAUUCAUCUGUCUCUGUCUCCCAAUUGUCUGGGAUUAAAGGUGUGCUUCCCUAUGCACAGCAUAGUUAGAUUUUUGUUUGUUUGAGACAGAGUUUCUCAGUGUAGCCCUGACUGUCCUGAAACUCACUCUGUAGACCAAGUUGGGCUUGAACUCACAGAGAUCCGCCUGCCUCUGCCUCUUGAGUGCUGGGAUCAGAGGUGUGCACAUUCCCCUCCUGCUAUGUUUUCUAUAAUGGUGGAUAUUAUCUAAUUUGAGAGGAAAUUAUUAUUUUGCUUUAUUAGAUUAGUGUUGGGUGUACAAGUGCAUCAUAAAUUUCAAAUUUUGACUUAAAACACUUGGAAGGCCUAUUGUUAAUUACAUGUAUAUUACAAAACCAUUGGUUUUGAAUUUUCAUUAAACAUAUCUUAUUGGCAUUUCAUUGAUGGCUUACUAUGUAGUCGGCAUGAUGGUAGGAAAUUGUAAAGAUGUGAUUGGGUCUCUAAGGUGGAGGUCUUGUUAUAGGGAAACUUAAUUUUGAGAGAUUAAAUUGAAAGACUCCGAGAGGAGCCCCUCUCUCAGGCCUCGGGACAAUAGCGGACACCCAAGAACUCAGGAGAGACCAAGCUUGAUGUAAACCACACGAGGCUUUAUUUGGGGAAAGCCAGAGCUCUGGGGACGACUCAUAUCCCACGCAGGGGUAGAGGAGUCGACCACGAGGGGAAAGAGGUCCCAGUUUUUAUAGUCCCUCAGGGGGGAAAGGAGAAGGGGGAGAGUAGGGGAUUUCCAGAUCUAAACAAUGUCUAUUCUCAAGAAAUGGGUAUGGGAGGGGUACAAGGAAAGAGUCUGGUGCAGGUGUAGCAACUCCGGAUUAGCCCGACUGUGGUUGCUGGGGAGAUUUUCCGACUCUUUCCCAGCAACCAAUAUCACAAACACCUGGCAAUGGGCUUCAUCAGUGGGCACACACAUGGGUUCAAGGAACGGUCAAAACAUUGGCAGACACACGGGUUCAAGGAGUGGCCAGAGCAUUGUGCACCUCUAUUUUUCUAAAUCAGUAAAGCUAGUUCUGCUAACACUGACAUCUAUCUUGUCAAUUUCAGGGCUUCUGUGAACUUUUACAUUCUGUCAGGAUCUUUCAAAAUCAUAUAUGAUUUAAUAAACUAACAGUAGAAAACAAAGUGAUGGAGAAGUUUAAGAAGAGAAUCAACAGCUCCAUUGAUUCUUGGGUGCCUCCUUAUCCCAGGUCUCUGUCUUUUUCUGGAGAUGCUCUCACCUCCCAACCCUGUCAGUUACAGAUUUCCAAUCAUUCUCAUGGUCGUGUGGCCAUCCCUCCUGUUCCUCCCCACUCCUGAUCCUGAACUUCCCAACCAACGAUUCUCCCCAUCCCCUCUCCCACCCAGCUCUCACAGCUGGAGGUGGGGGCUAUCCUAAAAGCUGUUGCCUGCAUGUGGGAUAUGCUCUAGAUGGGCUACCUUGCCUGGCCUCAGUGGGAGAUGAUGCACCUACCCUCACAGAGACUUGAUAUGCCAGGGUGGGGGAUACCCAGGGAGCAUCCACCUACUCAGAGGAGAAAGGGAGGAGGGAUGGGGGAAGGAAUGUGGGAGAGGGUGACUGGGAGGGAGGGCAGUGAACAGGAUGUAAAGUGAAUAAGAAAAAAAAUACUAAAAAUU
rnacentral:lncRNA from 1 species